UACGGAGGGUGCAAGCGUUGCUCGGAAUUAUUGGGCGUAAAGGGUAGGUAGGUGGUCUCAUUUGUCUGGGGUGAAAGCCUUGAGCUUAACUCAAGAAGUGCCCCGGAAACGGUGAGACUCGAGUACUGGAGAGGUGAGUGGAAUUCCCGGUGUAGCGGUGAAAUGCGUAGAGAUCGGGAGGAACACCAGAGGCGAAGGCGGCUCACUGGACAGUAACUGACACUCAACUACGAAAGCGUGGGGAGCAAACAGG
rnacentral:rRNA from 1 species